GACGAACGCUGGCGGCGUGCCUAAUACAUGCAAGUAGAACGCACAGUUUAUACCUUAGCUUGCUACACCAUAGACUGUGAGUUGCGAACGGGUUAGUAACGCGUAGGUAACCUGCCUGGUAGCUGGGGAUAACUAUUGGAAACGAUAGCUAAUACCGCAUAAUAUUAAUUAUUGCAUGAUAAUUAAUUGCAAGUUGCAAUUGCACCACUACCAGAUGGACCUUCGUUGUAUUAGCUAGUAGGUGAGGUAACGGCUCACCUAGGCGACGAUACAUAGCCGAAAGGAGGGGGUGAUAGGCCACACUGGGAGUGAGACAGGGCCCAGACGGCUACGGGAGGCAGCAGUAGGGAAUCGUCGGCAAGGGACGAAAGUCAGAGCGAGCAACGCCGCGGGAGGGAAGAAGGGUUUCGGAUCGGAAAGCUCGGUUGUAAGAGAAGAACGGGUGUGAGAGUGGAAAGUUCACACUGUGACGGUAUCUGACCAGAAAGGGACGGCUAACUACGUG
rnacentral:rRNA from 1 species